rnacentral:rRNA from 1 species
CUUGGUCAUUUAGAGGAAGUAAAAGUCGUAACAAGGUUUCCGUAGGUGAACCUGCGGAAGGAUCAUUAAUACGUCUAAACAACGUUUUAAACCUUACAAAUUUGUGGAAAUUCUUACCAUUCCGGGUGCAUUUUAUUGGCAUGAGAAGGGACUUCUUGUUAUGAGACACUUCAGUGUAGAGCAGUGAGGUGAAAUCUGAGCUUUUGAUGGCUUGGAUUUGGUUCUGGAUCACGACUCUUUGGUGACAGAGAGUCAAAUGCUGAAUGCAUUCGGUUAUUACUGUUCUACAUUUUAUUCUAUCAAACUUAUAAACCCCAUGUACAACAACUUGAACUAAACAUCUCUUCUGAUCACAUUGACUUGUGUGAUGAAGAACAAAUCUGAAAUUAAGAACAACUCUUAACAACGGACAUCUUGGUUCUCGUAUCGAUGAAGAACGCAGCGAAAUGCGAUACGUAAUGCGAAUUGCAGAAUUCAGUGAAUCAUCAAAUCUUUGAACGCAAAUUGCGCUCUCGGGAUAGGCCUGAGAGCACGCCUCUUUGAGUAUCGAUUUCACCACCUCCAGAACAAUCUGCUUUGCUUUUGCAUUGUGGAUUGAAGCUGGGAGUUUGAGUGCUAUUUAUCUGUUUACGGAUAAUCACUUGAAAUGGAAUGGAUAUUGAGGGACUUAACUGGUCAUUCCAGUUCUGAGUCUGUUUUCAUUGUUGAAUUUGAACGUGGAUAAUUAUCCAAUGUUUUAGAUUUGAUGAUGAAGAUUGCAUGAACUUGUGUGUUGGUCGACCUAGUCAAACCUCACCUACUAAUUAAAUCGAAAAGAUUAAGAAUUAGAUCUCAAAUGAAGCGAGACAACCCGCUGAACUUAAGCAUAUCAAUAAGCGGAGGA